CUCAGGCGUCAUCCAUCAGAAUAUACAGAGCGCUAGUCAUCAGGAAGCUGCUCUCUCAGCAGAACAGAAAAUAUCUCAAUGACUUGACAUGUUCUGGUUGUGAAUUCAGGCUACAAGGCUGGUAGAAUGAGUUGCCAGUGAAAGCUACUUCAUCUGCAAGAAAACAGACGGCUGCACCAGUGACUGUCAGAAGUUUUGUGAUUUCCUCAUAUGAACGUGAAAGGGACAGUGCUCUAAAAAUGAGUCUCUCUGGGGAGAGAGAGGAGGGGGGACCUGCCUCUAAAAUGAGUCUCUCUGGGGAGAAAGAGGAGGGGGUCCCUGUCUAUAAAAUGCAUCUCUCUGGGGGACAUGACACCAAAGCUAAGAGGUGAGAUAACAAUUUUAGGAAUAAUUUAUUAAGUUUAUUUCCAAAAUAAAUAGCUAUCUUAAGAUGAAUGCAGUUACUGUAAAUCUCUCUGGAUAAGAGCAUCUGCUAAAUCAGGGGUUCUCAAUCCGGGGUCUGUGGAGGUACUGCAGGGGUUCCACGGCACCCUGACUGUACUCGUUGCAAUGUUUGACAUUUGAUAGAAUUUUCACAUGACACAACCACUUUGCCUACUCUUAAUUAUUGACUAAUAUAAUGGAAUGCAUAUUUUCUUUACCAAUUCUGAUCGUUGUUACAAUAAGAAUUUUGACAAUUUUACCAUUAUAUCAACACACUCUUCACACCCGUUUAACAACUCUAAAUAGCUUUGGCAUAGUGGGCAUCAAGUCCCUUGCCAAUAAUGUUGCCUACAACGUUGCAUACAAUGUUCAUUUUCAUCGAACACAGAUUACGCCCGAGAUGCCUUCAAUUUGCCUAAUUUAUAGCCAUGCCCAAUUUAGGAUUGUUUUUUAACAACGUGAUGUUGCUCUCCAAAGGGAGAACUUGAAAUAACAUGAUGUAGAUAAUUAAAUAAUCAAAAGAAAAACGUGUUAAUUUUACACUCUUAGAAAAGAAGGUUCCUUAUAGAACCAAAAAAGCUUCUAUCACUUAUAUGGAACCACUAAAAAGUUAUAUAUAUUUUUGGGUUCAGUGAAGAAGAACUUCUCGAGUUCUGAUCAACAAAAGGUUAAUGUUUUGAUGAUGUGAACCCUCCAGUGGUCAGAUCAAUUCUGCCUGUUUUUUCCAGCGCCCGGCCCAGGAUUUGAACCUGCCGCCUUUCGGCCACAGGUCCAACUCCUGCCGCACUCCAACUCCUUAGCCGCUGGGUGAAAACCUGAGUUAAUCUUCAGAAAUAAACAUGAGUUAAUCUGCCAAAAUGAAGACAAAAUAAUCACUUGUUAUACAUAAUUAUUAUACAUAAAUCAUUGCCAAAAGCACAAGACAUAUAUUAUUUAUGGAUUGAUCAUAUAGAAAUAUAAAACAUUAUUUUUAACUACUACAAAGCAUUUACAUGUGGAGCAGGAACCACUGACUCGCUGCAUUAUUCUAUAGUAUUAUCAAGACACCUGCUGUUAAAGCUUAACUACUUAGGACAGCUCACGAGGUGUCCUAAAUAUCUGCCCACUAGGUGGGACUAGAGACUUCAUGCAUAGCUUUAAUUUAUACCCAUAAGUGUCAAAUAUAUUUUUUCUCAGCACUUAUACGACCAAUUUUCUACUCUGAGACGCUUUGUGGAUAUGGGCCCAGAUCUCAAAAUAUUGUUAUAAAAAAAGUUGAAUGUUUGUUUAACAUAAUAAUAAUAAAAAAUGAAUAUUACUAAUGUAACCCACUGUAAAGACUGGGUUUAGUUGAUUGUGUUGCACUGCUCAUGUCCGCGUUCUGGAACU